GAUGAACGCUGGCGGCGUGCCUAAUACAUGCAAGUCGAGCGAACGGACGAGAAGCUUGCUUCUCUGAUGUUAGCGGCGGACGGGUGAGUAACACGUGGAUAACCUACCUAUAAGACUGGGAUAACUUCGGGAAACCGGAGCUAAUACCGGAUAAUAUUUUGAACCGCAUGGUUCAAAAGUGAAAGACGGUCUUGCUGUCACUUAUAGAUGGAUCCGCGCUGCAUUAGCUAGUUGGUAAGGUAACGGCUUACCAAGGCAACGAUGCAUAGCCGACCUGAGAGGGUGAUCGGCCACACUGGAACUGAGACACGGUCCAGACUCCUACGGGAGGCAGCAGUAGGGAAUCUUCCGCAAUGGGCGAAAGCCUGACGGAGCAACGCGGCGUGAGUGAUGAAGGUCUUCGGAUCGUAAAACUCUGUUAUUAGGGAAGAACAUAUGUGUAAGUAACUGUGCACAUCUUGACGGUACCUAAUCAGAAAGCCACGGCUAACUACGU
rnacentral:rRNA from 1 species